rnacentral:misc_RNA from 1 species
GAACAAGAUUAACUUACAAUAUAAUCACAAUGAUCAGAAAGUAGAAAACUAUCAGAAGCCAUGAUCCCCCAUGGAUCAUAUAAGUUACUAAAACUACCUAUACAUUGGAGUCGGAUGGAAUUCUUCUCUUCUCCAUCAAAAUAUAGUUUUCUAAAUUCUUUCAAACCACCUCAAAAUCUAAAAACAGAGCCAUAUAUACAGAUAUUUAAGGCUUACACAAGUAAAAAUUAAAUCCUGUUUUCUUCCCAGUUUCAGUUGCCUCCCAUUUUGUGUAUUUACAUAUCAAAGGCUUGGCUUGGCUUAGGCUAAUUUUUUUCCUUAAAAUCAGAAUUGAAUGAUGAUUAGAGAAAAAACCCAUUUGAAAAACCAACCAAAAAGUCUAAUUUCAGGACUCACUUCACCAGCUCUGAUACCCAUCCAACAUCUGGUGUGCAGGCUGAAGGAUUUGAAUCAGCCAGGUCCAGAGAAUUUUCCUUGCUCAGUUUCUCCAGCAUCUUCGCCCUCAGCUCCCUUCCCGACUCAACUCGCUCCAUCGCCGGUUCCUCCUCAAAUCCAUGCUCCGAGAAGUCGAGCAGUCCAACUCCAUGACCAGUUGGAGCCCGAGUUGGUGUUGUUGGAAGGCUACAAAAUCCAUGGCAGACUCGAGACGGGUAACCAGGAGAUCCAAUUUGAACAUUCCAGGAAGAUGGCAGGGAUUUGACCUUGCUUAGAUGCAAGUUCCGGAGAGAUGCGACCAUUUCAUUGAUGGAACUCGAGCCCAGGGACCGGCCGAGAGACCGAGUCAUGGGCGAUAACGGUGGGGAAUCCACCGGAGUCGCUGUUGGUGAAACAGACACCGGAGAAGACAGAAACGGCAGCGAUUUAGCACAGGAUCCAUCCAAAGACUGCCGAAGUGGAGAUUCAUCAUACGACUCAGGCGAGUUCGCGCUUCUCGGGCUCUGCUGAGGCAAAACCCUAAGUUGUUCAGGAGUAUGGGCGAAGAAACAGACUCUUCUUCGACAGUUGGUUCCGUCCUUACAUGGCUGAGUCCUGUAACGAGUAGGAUGAAGCCAACACUCAAAAACA